CGAGAAAGGGAUGCCGGUCUCGGCCGCCCCCACCAAUUGAUCCAUGAUCGGCUUGGCCAGGGCGCCGGCAGUAGAAGGAACCCGGAAAAUGGUGAGCGGUGGAAAGAAAGCAACAUUACAAGGCUCUGAGCUGGAGGUUCGCUCUCGCUUUGCUGAUGCUGCAGUGAUUGUUAGUAGGGUGAUCGAGACAGGCUGCCUCUGACACAUUCCUGGGAAGACAGAAGAAAGGAAGAAACAGGAAGGUCAUGGAGGAGUGGCAGAAGAACAGCAAAGAACUAGUGGUGAGAAAGAGAUGUUUGAUGAGCUUCAGAGUUGAUUCUUUUGGCCAAUCGGCUUCCUGGAUGGCGG